UUGCAAGUUGGAGUACUUGGCGGCGUCACCUCCGACGUGGCUCCACGCGACGCGGAACAUGUGGACAAGGCGCCCUGGGCCAACGUGGCGGCAGAGACCGGAUCAGGCUCCGGGCUCCGCCGGCACAGUUUUACGUGGAAAGGGAAAGCAAAAGCGCCGUCCCUUCACGGCGACGGAUCCGCCACGCCGACGCGGGCACGGGCCGCCUCACACGUGGCAGGCGAGGCACGAUCAGUUGUUGUUGUCGCUGAGGUACCUCGUGGCUCAGCUUCGCCGAGGCGCCCGAGGACACUAUCCUCCCCCGGCGUGACGGUGCCGGCCGCCGGGGCCGCCGCACCUUUUUUUUUCCCACAAUCCCAGCUGACGCCGACCGCGGGGUCGGUGACUCGGCACGGCGGAUGCGUGCUCAUGCCGGGCUCAUACGGCCAUUUUGGGCGUCGCUCCGUAGCCAGGCUCCCCACGCGCGGCAGCUCGCUCGCAGGCGCAUUCGCUCGCGCAGCCCCGCGUGCUAGGGUUUCCCGAGCUCUCCCUCGAGCUGGAUCCCGCGUGCUAGGGUUUGCCGUCGUCUCGGCCGGGUACGCCAUCUCCACUCGCCCUCCCUCUCUCCCUCGAGCUGGAUCCCGCGUGCUAGGGUUUGGCGCCGCCUCGGCCGGGUACGCCAUCUCCACUCGCCCUCCCUCUCUCCCUCGAGAUCUCCCUCUCUCCCUCUCCCUCUCCCUCGAGAUCUCCAUCGGUGUCGUCGCCGUGACUCGUCUGUGCCGAGCUCUCCCUCUCUCCCUCGAGCUCUCCCUCUCCCUCGAGAUCUCCAUCGGUGUCGUCGCCAUCACUUGUCUGUGCCGAGCUCUCCCUCUCUCCGUCGAGCUCUCCCUCCGCUGUCAAAGCAAUGGAUCCUACUAUUGCACGUCGGCGGCUAAUUGCAAAGGCUGUGGUCCUUGUAGCAGUUAUGUCAGCCUGGGAAAGACUGUUGAUAAGGGUACCCCUGGUGACUCCAUUGAUACCAAGCCUAUGUCCAACUUAGGGAAGAGGAAGAGGUACAUGACUGAUGAAGAUGUUGCUGUGUUCAAUGGGAUGAAAGAGGCUGUAUCUGAUGUUGCUGCUGCUGUCCGUGAAAGCAUUCAUGCUGAAGCAGCACCUGGGAUCUACAAUGCUGUAAUCAACUGUCCUGGGUUCUCUAGGGAGGCUCUCAUGUAUGCCCUAAACCACAUGAUGGAGCACAAGGCCACCUCCCUGGUGUUCCUGGACAUGACUCCUGAUGAUCGUGACCUAUGGCUCAAGACUUUCCUAGCCAAGCACUACCACAACUGA
rnacentral:misc_RNA from 1 species